AUGAGAACACGACAACUGGUGCUGCUGUACGGUUAACUGGGAGUGAUGGGAGUGAACUGGAUCUCAUGGAGCUCAGCAGUAACUGUCAUCAUUACUCUCCUACACAUCCAAGGUGUGGUGAGCAUCACAACCAUGACUGUUACUGUGGAGGAAGGUCAGACGCUGUCUUUCAGGCGUAACUACACACGGGAUUCUCAGAAAAGUACUUCUACUUACUUCUUAAAGUACUUCUACCGGGUGGACAGCAAAGUGUCCAACAAUCUGAUAGUGACCAAAGGACCCGACCAGCUGUGGGAAAACGGCCGUUUCUCUCUGUACGACAACUCGGCUGAAGCUUGUGUUAUCGUCAGGGUGGACAAGGCUUCCGCUGAGGACAGUGGGACCUACUGGUGCGGGGUGGAUGUCAGCGCUCAUCCUGAUGACAUCACUGUGGUGCAGCUGACUGUUGUGGCAGCGGACUCUCCAGACAUUCUCUGGCGUUCCAAGGUCAGCAACCCCCUGUUCCUUACUGCAGUGAUGUGUGUGGCGGCGAUGCUGUUCGUGUGUGUGUUCACACUCGGUCUCAUGUUGACCGUCAAACACAGGAGUUCAGCUCCGAGUCACAACAGACAGACGUCAGCUGAUUACGAGACAAUGAUGCCCAGUGUACAGAACCAGCCUGAGCCCUGCUGCCCGUGUCCAGACUGUGUCGAUCCCUCAGCAUUUUCAUCUCCACCACCCAACGUCUGCGCCAACUCCAGAUCAAAUGAAUAUGCGGCCGUCGACGUGCUAGAACACAGUUGCCAGUACCAAAGUCUGGAUGACAUCCAGGGAGAGGAGAAGGUUUAUCAGGACCUUUACAGGAACUGUGGUGUUAAAGAUGAGAGAGCAGUGUGAGCUAUACAGUACACACUUAGUUAAAAUGGGUUCAUUUUGAACUACUUAUGUCGACCUUGUACUCGCUGACAAAAAAGUGCAACAUUGUUUGAAUAAAUAAAAUAACUAAGUUUAACUAACU
rnacentral:lncRNA from 1 species